AUAUGGUCAAGUUACUAAGAGUGUAUGGGGGAUGUCUAGGUGUCGAGAGGCGAUGAAGGACGUGGCUGACUGCGAUAAGUUCGGGGCAGGUGUCUAGCAACCGUUAAUCCCGAAAUGUCCGAAUGGGGAAACCCUGUCACAUGAAAGUGUGAUAAUCUCCGGCUGAAUGUAUAGGCCGGAUGAAGCUAACGCAGAGAACUGAAACAUCUCAGUACCUGUAGGAAAAGAAAUCAAUUGAGACUCCGUCAGUAGCGGCGAGCGAACGCGGACCAGCCCAAACCGGUCUUCGGACCGGGGUUGCGGGCAUCGGUUAGGAGUUACAAAGGCAUCGCAAGUUGAAUCAGCUGGAAAGCUGAACCGUAGAAGGUGAUAGUCCUGUAGAUAAAAGCGAGAGCCCUCCGUUAUGCCGAUGUUCCAGAGUAGCACGGAGCUCGUGAAACUCCGUGUGAAUCAGGGGAGACCACUCUCCAAGGCUAAGUACUACUCGACAACCGAUAGUGAAAAAGUAGCGCGAGCGAAAGAUGAAAACAACCCCUAUUAGGGGAGUUAAAAGAAGCUGAAACCAUACACUUACCAGUUGUAGGAGGACUAUGAUACAUUUCGAUGUAUAAUGUCUGACUACGUGCCUUUUGCAUAAUGAGCCGGCGAGUUACCGUUUGUGGCAAGGUUAAUCCUUUAAAGGGAGUAGCCGUAGCGAAAGCGAGUCUGAAUAGGGCGAUUUAGUCGCAGGUGGUAGACGCGAAACCAAGUGAUCUACGCAUGGCCAGGUUGAAGGAGGUGUAAAAAUCUCUGGAGGACCGAACCCAUUAACGUUGAAAAGUUACGGGAUGAGCUGUGCGGAGGAGUAAAAGUCUAAUCAAACUUGGAGAUAUCUCGUACUCUCCGAAAUAGCUUUUGGGCUAGCCUCGAGUAAAUUGUUUGACGGGGGUAGAGCUACUGAAUGGGGAUAAGGAGCUACCCGCUUGCUUUCCCCAACCAAACUCCGAAUACCGUUAAAUUUACCUCGGGAGUCAGUCUGCGGGUGAUAACAUUCGUGGUCAAAAGGGAAACAACCCAGACCGCCAGCUAAGGUCCCAAAUUUGAGCUAAGUUCAUAAGGAAGUCGAAUUGCUAUGACAGUCAGGAUGUUGGCUUAGAAGCAGCCACCAUUUAAAAAGUGCGUAAUAGCUUACUGACCGAGCAGUUUGGUGCCGAUAAUGAACGGGAAUUAAGUUCAAAACCGAAGCUGCGGAUUUUAUUUAAUCCUUCGGGAUUAUUUAAAGUGGUAGGAGAGCGUAAUAACCAGCGUUGAAGCGAUACGAUAACGAGUCGUGGAGCGGUUAUUAGUGAUUAUGCCGGCAUGAGUAACGAUAAAACAGGUGAGAAUCCUGUUCGCCGUAAACCUAAGGUUUCCUGGGGAAGGUAAAUCCGCCCAGGGUUAGUCGGUCCCUUAGUCGAGGCUGAAAGGCGUAGACGAUGGACAGCAGGUUAAUAUUCCUGCACUAUGUUGAUUGACGUAAGCAGUGACGCGUUUUUGAUCUUUAUCCCGUGAUUAGUCGUGCGGGUGCCGAAAGGCCGAGGACGCUUUUGAUUCCGAAGUAAAGUUAGAAAACGCCAAGAAAUAGCUGCCCAAGAUUGAUAUCAAUGUAACCGUACUAAAACUGACACAGGUAGGUGAGGAGAAUAUCCUCAGGCGCUCGAGAUANNUUGAGGGCGCAGAGAAAUGGCUCUGGCGACUGUUUAUCAAAAACACAGUUCUGUGCUAACACGUAAAGUGGAUGUAUACAGAAUGACGCGUGCUCGGUGCCGGAAGGUUAAGGAAGUCGGUCAAUGGGAGUAAUCCUGUGAAGCUGACGACCGAAGCCCCGGUAAACAGCGGCCGUAACUAUGACGGUCCUAAGGUAGCGAAGUUCCUUGUCGGGUAAGUUCCGACGUGCAUGAACCGCGUAACGACUGGAGCAGUGUCUCAAGGACGGACUCGGUGAAAUUAUAUUUGUGGUGAAGAUACCACAUACCCGCAGCAAGACGGAAAGACCCCGUGAACCUUUACUGUAACCUGGUACUGACACCUGUCAUACCAUGCGUAGGAUAGGUAGGAGGCUUUGAUCUGGCGUUUCCGGACGUCAGGGAGCCAACGUUGAAAUACUACCCUUGUUAUGUUAGUUGUCUAACCAUAUUCCGUGAAUCCGGAUAUGGGACAAUGCUAGGCGGGCAGUUUGACUGGGGCGGUCUCCUCCCAAAUUGUAACGGAGGAGUUCAAAGGUACCCUCAGCGUGGUUGGCAAUCACGCAUAGAGCGCAUAGGCAUAAGGGUGCUUAACUGCGAGACUUAUGAGUCAAGCAGAUACGAAAGUAGGACUAAGUGAUCCGGUGGUUCUGAGUGGAAGGGCCAUCGCUCAUCAGACAAAAGGUACUCUGGGGAUAACAGGCUUAUCGCACCCGAGCGUCCAUAGCGGCGGUGCGGUUUGGCACCUCGAUGUCGGCCCAUCACAUCCUGGGGCUGAAGGUGNNUUAAAGUGGUACGCGAGCUGGGUUCAGACCGGCGUGAGCCAGGUCGGUCCCUAUCUGCUGUGGGCGUAGGAAUCUUGAGAGGAUAUUUCUCUAGUACGAGAGGACUGAGAAGUACCGACCUCUGGUGUACCGGUUGUCCUGCUAAGGGCACAGCCGGGUAGCUAAGUCGGGAAAGGAUAAACGCUGAAAGCAUCUAAGCGUGAAGCCCACCUCAAGAUUAGGAUUCCUUUGAUCUUCGGAUCAUGAAGAGCCCUCAUAGACUAUGAGGUUGAUAGGCCGGAUGUGUAAGGCGAGAGAUCGCUUCAGCUAACCGGUACUAACGCUCAAACGCUUGACCAUAU
rnacentral:rRNA from 1 species